rnacentral:rRNA from 1 species
AGAUUAAUACAAGAUGGCAUCAUGAGUCCGCAUGUUCACAUGAUUAAAGGUAUUCCGGUAGACGAUGGGGAUGCGUUCCAUUAGAUAGUAGGCGGGGUAACGGCCCACCUAGUCUUCGAUGGAUAGGGGUUCUGAGAGGAAGGUCCCCCACAUUGGAACUGAGACACGGUCCAAACUCCUACGGGAGGCAGCAGUGAGGAAUAUUGGUCAAUGGGCGAGAGCCUGAACCAGCCAAGUAGCGUGAAGGAUGACUGCCCUAUGGGUUGUAAACUUCUUUUAUAAAGGAAUAAAGUCGGGUAUGGAUACCCGUUUGCAUGUACUUUAUGAAUAAGGAUCGGCUAACUCCGUGCCAGCAGCCGCGGUAAUACGGAGGAUCCGAGCGUUAUCCGGAUUUAUUGGGUUUAAAGGGAGCGUAGAUGGAUGUUUAAGUCAGUUGUGAAAGUUUGCGGCUCAACCGUAAAAUUNGCAGUUGAUACUGGAUAUCUUGAGUGCAGUUGAGGCAGGCGGAAUUCGUGGUGUAGCGGUGAAAUGCUUAGAUAUCACGAAGAACUCCGAUUGCGAAGGCAGCCUGCUAAGCUGCAACUGACAUUGAGGCUCGAAAGUGUGGGUAUCAAACAGGAUUAGAUACCCUGGUAGUCCACACGGUAAACGAUGAAUACUCGCUGUUUGCGAUAUACUGCAAGCGGCCAAGCGAAAGCGUUAAGUAUUCCACCUGGGGAGUACGCCGGCAACGGUGAAACUCAAAGGAAUUGACGGGGGCCCGCACAAGCGGAGGAACAUGUGGUUUAAUUCGAUGAUACGCGAGGAACCUUACCCGGGCUUAAAUUGCAGAUGAAUUACGGUGAAAGCCGUAAGCCGCAAGGCAUCUGUGAAGGUGCUGCAUGGUUGUCGUCAGCUCGUGCCGUGAGGUGUCGGCUUAAGUGCCAUAACGAGCGCAACCCUUGUUGUCAGUUACUAACAGGUUCCGCUGAGGACUCUGACAAGACUGCCAUCGUAAGAUGUGAGGAAGGUGGGGAUGACGUCAAAUCAGCACGGCCCUUACGUCCGGGGCUACACACGUGUUACAAUGGGGGGUACAGAGGGC